AAAAAAAAAAAAAAAAAAGAUGUUUCAUGUGAAUGUCACAGUUUUAUGCAACAUAAAUGACAUUCUGGGGCUAGUAAAACCCUUGAAGCAUGACAGCUCAUGUGAUAAGUUAUUUUUUUUGGGCCCACAAAUGAUAGCCACUAGGAACAAACACUAGAAGUUCCAAAACGCCGAUCAUGUAGAGUCCUUUUGCACAUCAACCAUAAUCAUUAUAAAAGAUGUUCACUUUGUAAGAUAUGAUGCAUGCCAAUGGAAUGUACAACAACAAUGUCUUCUUUUGUGCCGCCCCCCGCCCCCCAAGUCACUAAAAAGUGCCAUCACAAAAUUUGGAUCCUUAAGCUUUUCAAAACAUACCAAACUCUGUGUGGUUUCUUUUCUGACUAUUAAAUUUAUUCCCAUGGUAACGAAAUCAGAGAACUAGCAAAGAAGACCUAAACAUAGAGGAACUGGCACAACAAAUACAUUUGGUCAUCCAUAGAUAAAUUCUAUUGGCAACUUUACAUUCAAAAUAAAGCAUUAAAGGACAUUCAUUCCCUGUACCAUUGGUACUUGAAAAUGCUUAAAAAAAUGUGCCGAUAAUUUCUAUGAAGUACAAAGCUUGAGGAUAUAUCUGUCCAGGGAAACAAAAAGCAAUAACAAACCUGGAUAACACUUAAUGAACUAUU
rnacentral:misc_RNA from 1 species